UAGUGUCAGCCGUGUCAGCCAUGUUGUCCGCUAAUAAUAUCAUAGUUUCGAACAAACUCUUCCAUCGUCGGUUACCGAUAUUUCAUUUGUAAUGGAAGUGUGAAUACCGAGAAUUCCACUACAGAGAGCUGAAGAAACAUUUUCUGCUGUGACAGAAAGGAUGAACUGUACAAAUUCAGAGAAGGUUUUAGUGGGUCCAUA